UGGGGAAUAUUGCACAAUGGGCGCAAGCCUGAUGCAGCAACGCCGCGUGAACGAUGAAGGUCUUCGGAUCGUAAAGUUCUGUUGCAGGGGAAGAUAAUGACGGUACCCUGUGAGGAAGCCCCGGCUAACUACGUGCCAGCAGCCGCGGUAAUACGUAGGGGGCUAGCGUUAUCCGGAUUUACUGGGCGUAAAGGGUGCGUAGGUGGUCUUUCAAGUCGGUGGUUAAAGGCUACGGCUCAACCGUAGUUAGCCUCCGAAACUGGAAGACUUGAGUGCAGGAGAGGAAAGUGGAAUUCCCGGUGUAGCGGUGAAAUGCGUAGAUAUUGGGAGGAAAACCAGUAGCGAAGGCGGCUUUCUGGCCUGCAACUGACACUGAGGCACGAAAGCGUGGGUAGCAAACAGG
rnacentral:rRNA from 1 species